rnacentral:lncRNA from 1 species
GCAGGGCUCGCGGGGCGGCGGUGGUGGCCAAGUACGGGGAGAAGAGCGUCUACUUCGACCUGGACGACAUCGCCAACACGACGGGGCAGUGGGACCUGUACGGCAGCGACGCGGCGUCGCCCUACAACGGCCUGCAGAGCAAGUUCUUCAACACCUUCGCCGCGCCCUUCACCAAGCGAGGGCUGCUGCUCAAGGUCCUGCUGCUCGGCGGCGGCUCCCUGCUCGCCUACGUCAGCGCCACCGCCUCCCCCGACCUGCUCCCCAUCAAGAAGGGGCCCCAGCUGCCCCCCACCCCGGGGCCACGUGGCAAGAUCUAAGUAGAUCUGCAAUCAAGGCCUUCUUCCUCCUCUCGCCUCGUGCUUGUGUACCAUGGAUCUGAUGGAUUCCCCCCUAUGGCCCUAUCUAUGUCCUCUGUUGAUACUUGAUCUUUGUACUACUUCGUAUCAGUAAUUGGAAAGAUGCUGCUUGCAUGAUGCAUGCAAUUACUACUAGUAGAUCAUUUGCUCUUUGACGAUUGCCAGUACUGUUUUUUGCAGUACCAUGUUUUUGCUGUACUGGCGGUUUAAAUUACUACUUCCUCAAUACCUGCGACAAGUAAUCCAGAACGGAGGGAGUACUUGCCUAAUGUGUGCGAUGGUACGGGUACAGUGCCGAUCUAUACUUCUUCCCCUGGGUUUGGUUUGUGCUUUAUAUAUAAAAAGCAGGGCGAAAGCCUGUUUCGAGCCAAUAUGUAUUGUCCGGCCGGCCUACUCAUCACUCUGCGUGCACAGCUGCACACGUACAUGGACGCAGCUCCUCUGACGUACGGCGCACUCGCUGACGUGUGGACCCGGACCCACGCGUCAGUGGCCCAACGUCAGGUGGCCGUACGUCAGGGGAUCCGGCUCCCACGUACUUACUCCCUCCGUCCGGAACUACUAUCCAUUUCUGCGACAAAUAAUUCGAAACUAAUAGUUGUUGCUGCUGCCGGCAGGAUAUUAGUUCUUACCCCGCUUGUUUCGUUAAUGUCUGAUAAAUAUAUCAAGCAUACAUUGCGUCGUCGAUUUUAUGCAAAAAUCCAACUGACAUUAUAACACUCCUACAAGACACUGGAAAGGCUACGCUUAACAAACAUUGCACGGAAAACAGGGUCUGGAAGAGGUCAAGGUUAACUAGUACAGAAGCAGGCUAGAAAACUACAUGUCCAUUUCUCAGGCUCAGUGUGAAAAAUCUCAACAUUAUUUNNNNNNNNNNNNNNNNNNNNNNNNNNNNNNNNNNNNNNNNNNNNNNNNNNNNNNNNNNNNNNNNNNNNNNNNNNNNNNNNNNNNNNNNNNNNNNNNNNNNNNNNNNNNNNNNNNNNNNNNNNNNNNNNNNNNNNNNNNNNNNNNNNNNNNNNNNNNNNNNNNNNNNNNNNNNNNNNNNNNNNNNNNNNNNNNNNNNNNNNNNNNNNNNNNNNNNNNNNNNNNNNNNNNNNNNNNNNNNNNNNNNNNNNNNNNNNNNNNNNNNNNNNNNNNNNNNNNNNNNNNNNNNNNNNNNNNNNNNNNNNNNNNNNNNNNNNNNNNNNNNNNNNNNNNNNNNNNNNNNNNNNNNNNNNNNNNNNNNNNNNNNNNNNNNNNNNNNNNACCCCCUACGGCAGCGCGCCACUAGUGUCUAGAUAUGGGGCUCCGUGCUCCGCCCAGAUUCUCAAGCUUGUCCAGGUAGGAGUACCUCUUGGUGCCGAUCUUGGAGACCUUGCUCAGCUUCUUGCCCUGGGGAUCCUGUGAUUCUAGUAUCAUGGUCUCGAUGGUGCCGUCCCGAGGCCCCACGAGGUCGAACAAUGUCGAGUUAACCGGCUCCAUUCUUCCCAGCCUCCCCAUCUCGUCCUUGGCGUCUUGGACCACCGUGUCCGUGUCAUCGGAUGUCAAGCUCGGCAUCCGCAACGAGUCCCCUUGCUUGGGGUCUUGGGUGAGGGAGUCGGCGUGGAGAACGUCCUCGAUGCGGGACAUUACGGUGUAGGCUAGGCUCUCGAGCGUCCUUGAGUAGCUCUCCAGAAUGGCACUCCCAACAUCCUGCAAAAACAACACGUACGGAAACACAAAUGUAUGUAGUUGGCAUUAUAUAUAGUAAUGAAAAGGUACUCCUUUUCUAAAAAAGAGUAAUGAAAAGGCACUGUAGCAAUUCCGAAAACAAAGUGAGAAUUGUGGGUACCCUGUUGUAUUGGAUUUUGCUGAUGUCCAGAGCUGAUUGGGAAAUCCCUGGAAACCUGUGCUUGAGUAGGAGAAGAACGUUCUCCGCCCUCCCCUCGAAUCGGCCCCGCUUCUCGUGGCUAACGCCAUGGCCCCACUUGCCAUCCCUCUGCAUUUUCUUCUGCCAAAUGACGACCGACGCUUCAAUCCGGUUCUUCAGAUCGACAAUGUUGUACUCGUUCGACAGGUCAACCGUUGCUAUGAGUUCUUCGGGGUUGAAAUAAUCGUCGGUUAUAAGCUUGUACAUCGAGUCCCCAAGGGUGGAUUUCCCAUUCUACAAAGCAUAAGAGUAAGAGGAUAUUGUCAUGUGAGAUCUCAGUAAUGUAGUCAAGUAAGUUAAAUGUGAUUGUUGUAUAAUAACGUCCUUGUGUUCUUAUGGAUCACCUUAGGCAGAGACUCCAUGUAUGCUUCUGGAACAUCCAUCUCCAUGAUAACAUUAGCAUUGAUGGCCAUUGUUGCCUUCAAGACUUGGUUGACGAGCUCCUUCUGGUGCUGAAGCCAUCUCCUCGUGGAGUCUGACAGACCCUCGGGAGGGACCUUGACCGUCGGGAGCCACCAUUUGUCACUCUGCUCCGCCGCGUCGCCCUUCUCGGAUUCAUUGUCAUUUUUCUUCACAUACCAAAACUCCUGCUUGUCGCCGAAACUAUCGAGAUAGUCCUGUUCGACAGCAGAAAUGCGCAACGGUAACAAAUUAGCAACUCAGCUAUCUUCACAUCAAUCUCGUAAACAAUUCAGAGAAGGGUGUGGAAUUCUAUAUUACAAGGAGCAUUCCGUCAAGCUUGCGCAAUGCCGGGAUGUUCAUCAGCAGAUCUCUGCGUUGCUGAGUUAUCAUAACCUGCUUGUCGAAAAAGAAUAAAAAUGUACUAUUGUAAUUAGUUGUAAACUUGUAAUUCGAUUUGCAUAACGAGGUUGCAUAGUACAGGCCCUAAGCAAGGCAAAAAAAAAAGUGUGACCGCCUAAGGCUCCAGUAGGCACAACCCACAUUGUACGUCUUUACUAACCAAUUUAUUUUUCUUUGUAGGACCCUAACCACAUUGUACAAUCAUGUUUUUUUUUGAAAAGGAGGAAUACCCCCGGCCUCUGCAUCUCUUGAUGCACACAACCAUAUAUAAACAAGCACGUGUAAUGAAAACAGGGGUAGGGGUUUGUUUCUGACCUCCAUGGUGCUGCCAUCCUCAACCACCUGGCGUGAAGGAACGAACUCGACGAUGAAAUCGGUGACAGAGAGAAGCCAGUCGAUCUCCUUUGUCCACCGAGCCUUCGGCUCAGGGGCCAUCGGUUGGAGACGCCGCUGCUCACCGAACACGGAAGCUGCAACAGCGUGCCACCACGAGAAAGGAUACAUAAGCGGUAAGAUUUUCCACAAGAAACCAAGCACGAAUUGAAAUGAUUUGAAAUCCAUAAAUCAUGCAUCAAGCACGUGAUAGGGCUAGGGCUCCCGAUUUAGUCGUGCAUGUACUCAUUCGCGGGGUCGAAGAUUGUCUCGUGUACAAAUAAGUGUUUUCUCUAAUGUCCACUAAUUUAUUUUGAGGAUUAAAAUCAUUUAACCAAUUACUUUCGUUUGGAUUUUGUGGUGACAAGUACUCUCAUUUCUGAGACCCAUUUUUUCACACACCAAAAAUUCCAUUAAUUUAGCGCGCACUACAGGCCUUUGAAACAUGAGGGUAGGGGAGUGAUUACCUGCUAUAUUGGCGGUGGCACAAAAUGGAAAGAAUUGAAAGGAAAGGGAGUGAUUACCUGCAAGAUUGGUGAUGGCGUUGGAGAGAGCGAGAGCCGAGGAGACCCCUUUGCCGGUGCCGGACAUGUCCUCCCCCAGCAGCAGCUUGGAGAACUUCUCCUUCACCAUGUCCGUGUCUGCAAUUGGAAUGGAUCGGCCACCGGAGCAAAUCAUUCGUGGAACAAGACCGGGACGAUCAUCCGCAUUCACCGGGACGCUAGCUUAGAGAUGAAGAGCGGCGACGAACCUGAAGGCGGGCCCUCGGGCCGUGGAGGGGGCUUCUGGGGCGGCGCGGCGGACGUGGACGGCCUUGGCCCGUCGGAAGGGCCGCCGGCGAGCGGCGGCGGGAUGAGGUCGACCGAAAGCUUGCCCCUGGACCCGCAGCUGCUCCUGGAGAGCAUCCGCCUGGCGCACGGCAGCGUCUGGGCCUUGGACGAGGGCUCCAUCGUGGGGCUCCCCGGGUCGAGGGCCACGUCCUCCGACGAGACCGAGGAGAGCGGCGAGGAGGGCGUGGACGACGCCUUCCCGGACUUGCGCCGCCUGAAGGAGAACCUGGAGUCGCGGCCGUGCCCGGUCUUGAGGAACGGCGGCGCCAUCACGCGCUCAUCGCAGGCAUGCACGGGUCAGCACCGCAUCCCGCGGGCACGCGCGCACGUACCCGUACGCCGACGUGCGGCGGGCCGGCCGAGGUCAGAAGGGGAGAAAGAAACACCGGCCGUCCGUCCGUCCGUCCGUCCGUCCGACCUCGCGCCCCCGCGCGCGAGAGAGAGAUGGGAGGAGGGAUGCCCGGUGGCUGGCGGGCGCGCGUGGCUGGCUGGCUGGCUGGCUAGAUUCGGGGCGGGGGAGACGGUUUUGCGAGGGAGGCGAGGAGAGGAAAGAGGGGUGGGGAGGGACGUGUCUGUGGAUGGAUGGCGCGAGCUGCAGCCGCGCCGCGGGAAAUGGGUCCGUUUUGUGUGUGUCGUCCAGCCCAGGUCGGCCACGCUCCCUCCCUCCAAACAUGGGCAAUGGGAGUGGUUUAUCGUUGGAGAUGUUGUACCACGCUGCUAUUUUUAAUCUCACUCGCCCGUGGUUACUUUUCUCCAUCUCGGUUGGUGGUUAAUUACCACGUGCUACUCUUAGGAGUACAGCCUAACAGUAACAGUACUUGGGAUCACCAAAAUCAUGGUGAAUCAUAAUAGCUCAGCCUAAGCAGUAGUACUUGGGAUGUCCCCUGGCGGCUCCCGUCUAGGGUUUGAGAUACCUCCGGUGGCGACACCGUGAGGCUGUUCCGGACUCUACCACCAAUCCCGAUCCUCCCCGACUUGGUACUCGGGUUGAUUAAGGGGAUAGCCUCGCUAUCUACCCGGCCUUGGUCCCUGUCUUGGGUUGCUAGGGUUUUGGUGGAUCGGAAAACGCAUCUCGCUAGGGUUUGGCUAUGGCAGGAUCGGGCUCGCAAUCGUCAGCGGGAAGUGUGGCCCCUGGGGGGAAACCCAUCGGGGUUGAAGAGAUGAUCGGAAAACUCAAGUUGCAAGAGCGGGAGGAAGACGAUCUGAUCUUUGAAGAGGACUUCCCGGAUGAGAUCGAGGAAGUGGAGUUCAUGGCGCUGGCGACGGUGCAUACGAACAAGCCCUUCAGCAGGGGGUCGUUCUAUGAUACGACGAGGCUCGCUUGGAGCCUAGCGCGGGGUGUAACUUUCAAACCAUUAGGUGAGAAUCUAUUCUCUCUGACGGUGAACUGUUUGGGAGAUUGGAAGAGGGUCACGGAGGAGGGGCCGUGGCUGUUUCGUGAUCAUGGAGUGCUAAUUGAGAAGUAUGAUGGAUAUACCAGAUAUGAUGAGGUCGUGCUGGAUAAACUGGCAGUUUGGAUUCAGAUUGUUGAUCUCCCUCCGCUCUACAGGAAGGAUAACGUUGUUCGGUCGCUGGAAAAAGGUAGGAACGAUGGAGAAGGUAAUGCUAAAUCCCAGAUGGGGUGAGGGAAGGAUUGUAAGGAUCAGAGUUAAGCUUGACUUUAAUGAACCACUGAUGAGAUAUGUCUCUAUCACAAAGGACGGGAAGAAGGUGUAUUACUCGGUGUUAUACGAGAAGAUGCUAGUUUUCUGCUAUGUGUGUGGCUAUAUGGGUCAUACAUACCUCGAGCAUGGUAAUGGGAAGCAUGAUCUGCAGACUAUGGAGUGGGGAGAAUUCAUAUUAGCACCUCGCCCAGGAGAAAGGAGGCAAACAGGUCAAAACUCGAGGGGGAGGCAGAAAGAGAGGACUACCACUGGGGGCCUGAGGAGGACUAAUGGCCCGGAGGAUGAUGGUCUGAAAGACACUGCUACUAGUCCUAUCAAAUCCAUUAGCGGGACGAUUGGGGACAAAUUCUCUGGACGUAAGAGGCUCACUUAUGAGGAGGUAAACACGGAUCUAGCAGCUCCUGCAGCGAUGCUGCCAGCACAAACACAGGAGAGCCCGAUAGCUAUGUCGACUACGCUAGUGGUCCACUCACAAGGCAUGCAGGUCACGAAGAAGGAAGAUGAGGAUGGUGACACUUCAUCGCACGAUUCGAAGAGAUCGAAGAAGGACAACUUGGCUGUGAUGGAGGCCAGCCACAAUUUAUCGGCGAGCUCCGAGAAGGGGCUCGACAGGUCGCAAUGAAAAUCAUCGUGUGGAACUGUCAUGGGAUGCGUAAACCUGCGACAGUUCGGGCGCUCUUGGGGAUCCAAGAGCGAAUAAACCCAGAUGUGUUGUUCCUGUCUGAAACACACAUGGAUAAGGCUAAGGCAGGGAAACUAAGAAGGAGGUUAGGGUAUGAUGAGAUGGAAGUUUUGGAAAGUGACGGCAGAAGUGGAGGAUUGACCAUGCUUUGGCAAUCUAGCUUGGGAGUCUCUUCUCGGGCUGUUCAUGCAAACUAUAUAGAUAUACAAAUAAAGGAGGUGACACCUGCGGGAUGGCGCUUCACAGGUUUCUACGGCAAGCCAAGUAGUGACCGUAAAUACCUGUCGUGGGAAUAUUUGCGUGGUCUGCACACAUUGGCUGAUCUGCCAUGGAUAGUGGGAGGAGACUUUGAUGAAAAUUUGCAAGCUCAUGAGAAAGAAGGGGGGCGGCACGCCCCCAAUGAUGUAUGCAGGCUUUUAGCAAUGCGCUGAGCGAUUGCGGGCUUGACGAUCUCGGUUAUUCGGGAGACAUUUUCAGCUGGCGUAGAGGCCGAAUUUGGGAGCGAUUUGACAGAGCUGUCUCGAGUAGCUCUUGGGCUGAUCUAUUCCUAGCCUAUGGUGUUUCUAAUGAACCGUUUAAUAAAUCAGAUCACCGGUCGAUCCUAAUUGAUACUGAUUUCCAGCAAGGCAUACAACCAAGGGGUUCGCCGGGACCGAGGAAAUUUGAAGCAAGGUGGCUUGCGGAGGAAGAUGUGGAGGUGAUAGUUCAAGCGGCCUGGGAUAGAGCAAAAGCCAGGGGGACCGAGCCUUACUCACAAGUGACAGGGGAGAUACAUGCUGCUUUGCGCACUUGGGAUAAAGAGUCUCUAAAAGGCCAGCGAACCCGGCUAAGGAAACUUCAGAAAGAGCUGAAUGAGGUGCUGUCGGGCCCGCUGUCGGACGAGGCUAUGGCUCGACAACAUGAACUCCACCUGCAGAUCGAGAACCUACUUGAACAAGAAGAGAUAUACUGGAUGCAGCGAGGACGAGCUGGUUGGCUCUGCCGUGGCGAUCAAAACACGGAUUUCUUUCACCGUGCAGCCACGGGGAGGCGCAAGAAGAACUUUAUCAAGAAAUUGAAAGGAGAAUCGGGGGACUGGAUCGAGGAUGAGGACCAACUUAAGGGGCAUGUGGUGCGCUAUUUUGGUGGACUGUUUUCCUCCGAAGUGCAAGACCCGGACCAAAGUGUCUUGGACAAGGUAAAAGCCAGGGUAUCUGCUGAGAUGAAUGAGGACCUGGUGAAGCCCUAUACCCGAGAGGAAGUUAAAGGAGCAUUGUAUAAUAUUGGUGACCUCAAGGCACCGGGCCCUGAUGGGUUGCAUGCGGUGUUUUAUAAGAGAUUCUGGCACAUAAUUGGCGAUGAUUUAAUUGAUGAAGUAUUGUUGACAGUAAAUAACAGGAAGAUACAAGAAGGAUGGAACAACACUACAAUUGUUCUUAUCCCAAAGGUGGAGAACCCGGAGGUUCAAAACUGCUAUCAAACAUGCUAAAAAAUUUGUUGCCUGAGAUUAUUUCCCCUAAUCAAAGUGCCUUUGUCCCCGAGCGUUUGAUCACGGACAACUUCUUAGUGGCUUUUGAAUCUUAUCAUGCUAUCAAGAGGAAGAGAACGGGAAAGUUUGGAAUAUGUCCGGUAAAACUUGACAUGCAUAAGGCCUAUGAUAGGGUCUAGUGGGUUUUUCUUGAGAGAAUCAUGCUUCGGCUGGGCUUCACACCAGAUUGGGUUGCUCCCAUUAUGGAGUGUGUAAGGUCAGUGAAGUACCAAGUUUGUUCUAACAACUCUCUCACAGAUUUUUUUGUCCCUUCGCGAGGUCUACGCCAAGGAGACCCGCUAUCACCUUACUUGUUCCUAACUUGUGUGGAGGGCCUCUCAAGUUUGCUUAAUCACGAGGAGGAGAUUGGUGAUCUUAUAGGAGUGAGAGUAUGCCGGGAUGCACCGGCUGUUUCUCAUCUUCUCUUCGCAGAUGACUUCCUCAUUUUGAUGCGAGCAGAUGCUAGCAACUCCACGAGCCUUCGCCACACCCUUGAUGAUUACUGUGUUGCCUCGGGCCAAUUGGUAAGUGAGGCCAAAUCGAGCAUUUUCUUCAGCCCUUGUACUACGGUAGAAGUAAGGGCGGAGGUGUGCACUACUCUGAAUAUCAUGGCAGAUGCUAUAACGGACAAGUAUUUGGGGUUGCCCCCGAUUGUUAGGGUAGAGAGAAUUGAUUGUUUCCAACAUAUUGUGGAUAGAAUUCUGAAUAGGAUCGGAGGAUGGAAGGAGAAGAUGCUCCCUUUUGGAGGAAAAGAAGUGUUGUUGAAGGCUGUCAUACAAGCCAUUCCUUCAUAUGCCAUGCUAGUCUUUAAGCUUCCAAAACAAAUUUGUAAUGCGAUAACAACCGCUAUGUCACAGUACUGGUGGGGGGAUGAGGAGAAGAAGCACAUGCAUUGGUUCGCGUAGUGGAAGAUGUGCAUGCCAAAGAGCAAUGGAGGUAUGGGUUUCAGAGAUGUUCACUGUUUUAACUUGGCCCUCCUAGCUAAACAGUGCUGGAGAUUGUUAGCAGAACCAGAUUCCUUGUGUGCCAGAGUAUUGAGGGCAAAAUAUUUUCCGAAUGGAGACCUACUGAAUUGCCCCCUCAAGAAAGGGAGUUCUUACACUUGGCAGAGCUUGUGGAGUGGUGUUCAGACCUUCAAAAAAGGAUACAUAUGGAGAGUGGGAGAUGGCACACAAAUAAACGUAUGUGAUGAUCCUUGGGUGGCUAGCAGCCCAAACAGGAAGGUAAUGACUCCACGAGGUAAUAUCGUUCUCACUAAAGUUUCUAAGUUGAUUAACAUGGAGAAUCGGUGCUGGGAUGAAGAACUUAUCAGACAUAUCUUUUGGCCCAUUGACACAAAUCGUAUUCUGAAUAUACCCCUUGCAACGGGGAUGAUGGGGGAUUUUGUUUCAUGGCACUAUAAUAAAACUUUCGGUCAAGACGGCUUACCAUAUGGAGUGGGAUCACCAACAUGGAUGAAAGUUGAGACAAACACAUUCAGUAUUGUCCUCAAGUACUAGUCCAGUCUGGCGCAUUCUAUGGAAGCUGCGAGUACCGGAAAAAAUUAAAGUGCACGUGUGGCGAGCUUUGUAUGGAGCAAUCCCUUGCCGGGGUGUUUUGGCAAAUCGACAAAUGAUUACAACUUUGGACUGCCCAAUCUAUGAGUCAGACUGUGAGAGUGUUCGCCAUGCAUUCUUCAGUUGCCACAGGGUGCAGGAUAUUUGGACAAAGCUUGGCCUGAGUUCUACUAUAAACGAACUAUGUGAAAUUGAGUCGGAAGGAGCGUCGGUUCUAGGAUAUUUGUUGUUGAUGCCCAAUGGCACUGUCCCGUCGCUUCCGAAUGUAUCCAGGAAGGAGCUAGUGGCGGUCGCCAUGCAGUACAUAUGGUGGGAACGCCGGAGAUUCACCCAUGGUGAGACCAUUCAGGAGCCUGCUCGCUCGGCCCAGGCUAUUGCAACGCUGACCAAGAAUUUCAUGAGAGCUAAAAAGCAAUGAGGAGGGCGGAUCUAGAGGCAUGGAUGGACAAGACCAGCUGAAGGAUUCGUCAGUUUAAAUGUUGAUGCCUCUUUUGAUGCAGAUAGCGGCACCGGUGGAACGGGUGCCAUUAUACGGGACUCCACGGGUGUGUUCAUUGCGGCAUCGGCAUGCAACGUUCCCUUUGUCGAGGACGCAGCAAUUGCGGAGGCUAGAGGCCUCAAGGACGGGCUAAUCCUCGCGAACAAUAUUGGAUGCAACAAGGUGGAGAUCCGAGCUGAUUGUAUGGAGGUGAUUGAAAUCAUGCAACAUGGAGGGAAUUCCUUUGGUCCAGCUGCAACCAUCUAUGAGGAAUGUACCUUCUUAUGUCGUAAUUUUAUUUAUGUUUCUUUCUAUCAUUGCCCUAGGGAGGCCAAUAUGGCGACAGAUUUGCUGGCUACAAAGUCGAAGCACUCGAGAACUAUUGUAUGGCAGAACGAGGCUCCAGACUUUUUGCUUGAUGUACUCUCAAAUGAUGUAGCCCUUUUCCCACAAGAAAUAUAAACCGCCAUGAUAGCUUUUCCCUCAAAAAAAAAACAGUAGUACUUGGGAUCACAUCCAUGCCCCCUCCCCCCAGCACUCGAAGAAAACCUAUGUCCAGUUCCUCGGAUUAGAUGGCAACAGGGUCACAGCGUUGUUUCCUUUCAUCAAGGCAUUGUCUUAGUUGCUCGCGGCGUCACCAGUAUAUUAAAAUAGGAGAUGUUGGAUGUCGUGUUAGUUUAGGUUGUUUCUCGAGACGUAUGUCCCAAUGUACGACACCGUUAUCACUACCUCUAUGGCUUCUUCCUCCGACCCGCCCAGGUCCUGUAACUCACUUGCCGACCUUCUACGUGCUUCCUUCAUGACUUCUUCCUCCAGCCUGGACGGGUCUUGCAAUCUACUUCCCGACUCUUCUAGGCGCUUAGAGAAACUCCAAUGCGCCGACACAUUAUGCCCACGUGCGUCCGUUUGAAUCGAAACGGACACCAAAUGCAGCCCAAUGCGCCAACGUAAAUGGACGAGUGUCUGUUUUUGUCCACCCGCGACCCAUUUCCAACCCAAAUCCGAGUCGGAGUUUGCGUCAGUGCAGAUGAUACGUCUCCAACGUAUCUAUAAUUUUUUAUUGUUCCAUGCUAUUAUAUUAUCUGUUUUGGAUGUUUAUGGGCUUUACUUUACACUUUUAUAUUAUUUUUGGGACUAACCUAUUAACCCAAAGCCCAGUGUCGGUUCCUGUUUUUCCCUUGUUUCAGUGUUUCGAAGAAAAGGAAUAUCAAACGGAGUCCAAACGGAAUGAAACCUUUGGGAGCGUGAUUUUUUGAACGAAUGUGAUUCAGGAGACUUGGACUUGAAGUCAAGGAAGCUUCAAGGUGGCCACGAGGCAGGGAGGCGCGCCUGCCCCCUGGGUGGGCCCCUCGUAGCUCCCCUGAUUGACUUCUUUCGCCUAUAUAUGUCCAUAUACCCUAAAAACAUCAGAGAACAGAAUAGAUCGGGAGUUCCGCUGCCAGAAGCCUCCGUAGCCACCGAAAACCAAUCUAGACCCGUUCCGGCACCCUGCCGGAGGGGGGAACCCCUCUCUGGUGGCCAUCUUCAUCAUCCCGGCGCUCUCCAUGAUGAGGAGGGAGUAGUCCACCCUCGGGGCCGAGGGUAUGUACCGGUAGCUAUGUGUUUGAUCUCUCUCUUGUGUUCUUGAGGUGGUACGAUCUUGAUGUAUCGCGAGCUUUGCUAUUGUAUUUGGAUCUUAUGAUGUUUCUCCCCCUCUACUCUCUUGUGAUGAAUUGAGUUUUCCCUUUGAAGUUAUCUUAUCGGAUUGAGUCUUUAAGGAUUUGAGAACACUUGAUGUAUGUCUUGCAUGUGCUUAUCUGUGGUGAAAAUGGGAUAUCACGUGAUCCACUUGAUGUAUGUUUGGUGAUGAACUUGCGAGUUUCGUGACCUCGUGAACUUAUGCAUAGGGGUUGGCACACGUUUUCGUCUUGACUCUCCGAUAGAAACUUUGGGGCACUCUUUGAAGUUCUUUGUGUUGGUUGAAUAGAUGAAUCUGAGAUUGUGUGAUGCAUAUCAUAUAAUCAUACCCACGGAUACUUGAGGUGACAUUGGAGUAUCUAGGUGACAUUAGGGUUUUGGUUGAUUUAUGUCUUAAGGUGUUAUUCUAGUACGAACUCUAGGAUAGAUUGAACGGAAAGAAUAGCUUCAUGUUAUUUUACUAUGGACUCUUGAAUAGACCGAUCAGAAAGAAUAACUUUGAGGUGGUUUCGUACCCUACCAUAAUCUCUUUGUUUGUUCUCCGCUAUUAGUGACUUUGGAGUGACUCUUUGUUGCAUGUUGAGGGAUAGUUAUACGAUCCAAUUAUGUUAUUAUUGUUGAGGGAACUUGCACUAGUGAAAGUAUGAACCCUAGGCCUUAUUUCAACGCAUUGCAAUACCGUUUGUGCUCACUUUUAUCAUUAGUUACCUUGCUGUUUUUAUAUUUUCAGAUUACAAAAACCAUUAUCUACCAUCCAUCUUGCACUUGUAUCACCAUCUCUUCGCCGAACUAGUGCACCUAUACAAUUUACCAUUGUAUUGGGUGUGUUGGGGACACAAGAGACUCUUUGUUAUUUUGUUGCAGGGUUGUUUGAGAGAGACCAUCUUCAUCCUACGCCUCCCAAGAAUUGAUAAACCUUAGGUCAUCCACUUGAGGGAAAUUUGCUACUGUCCUACAAACCUCUGCACUUGGAGGCCCAACAACAUCUACAAGAAGAAGGUUGUGUAGUAGACAUCAAGCUCUUUUCUGGCGCCGUUGCCGGGGAGGUUAGUGCUUGAAGGUAUAUCUUUAGAUCUUGCAAUCAAAUCUUUUAGUUUCUUGUUUUAGCACUAGUUUAGUCUAUAAAAGAAAACUACAAAAAAAUGGAAUUGAGGGUACCUCAUAUGCUUAAUCUUUUUAAUAUCUUUCAUGAGAAUAAGGAUUCUGAUAAUUGUGCUCAAGUGCUAGAAGAAGAAUGCAUGAGAAUGUUUGGCACUAAAUACUUGAAUGAUGAGCAUGAUUGCAAUGUUGUUAGUAUGAAUUCCUUGAAUAUCCAUGAUGCUAAUGAUAUGCAAAGCCACAAUCUCGGGGAGGCUAUGAUUGAUGAAGAUGAUAUUUUUUGUCCCCCAAGUUUUGAUGAGCAAAUUUAUUAUGAUGAAAGCAUCCCUCCUAUCUAUGAUGAUUAUUGUGAUGACACAUAUGCUAUAAAGAAUAAUGAUAUCCAUGAAACUUGUCAUCAUGAUUUUAACUUUCAAUUGGAUUAUGCCUCACAUGAUAGUUAUUUUGUUGAGUUUGCUCCCACUACUAUUCAUGAGAAGAAUUUUGCUUAUGUGGAGAGUAGUAAAUUUUCUAUGCUUGUAGAUCAUGAAAAGAAUGCUUUAUGUGAUAGUUAUAUUGUUGAAUUCAAUCAUGAUGCUACUGAAAAUUAUUAUGAGGGAGGAACAUAUGCUUAUAGGAAUUGCAAUAAUAUCAAGUUUCCUCUCUAUGUGCUUAAAGUUUUAAAGUUAUCCUUGUUUUACCUUACUAUGCAAGUUGAUUCUUGUUCCCACAAGUUGCUUGCUCACAAAAUCCCUAUGCAUAGGAAGUGGGUUAGACUUAAAUGUGCUAGUCAUAUUCUUCAUGAUGCUCUCUUUAUGCUUCAAUUCUUAUCUUUUAUGUGAGCACCAUUGACAUCAUCAUGCCUAGCUAGGGGCGUUAAACGAUAGAGCUUGUUGGGAGGCAACCCAACUUUAUUUAUGUUCCUUGCCUUUUUCUCCUGUUUAGCAAUAAAUAAUUUAUCUAUCAUCUGUUAUUAUUGAGUUUUUAUGCUUUUAAUUAGUGUUUGUGCCAAGUAGAACAGUUGGGAAGACUUGGGGAAAGUCUUUUUGAUCUUGCUGUAAAAAACAGAAACUUUAGCGCUCACGAGAAUUGCUGCCAUUUUUAUUUGGAAAGUGUUAUUUAGUUAAUUCUUUUGGCAGAUGAUUAAUAGAAAAAUUCCUCACGUCCAGAAAUUUAUUUUAGAAUUUUUGGGUUCCAGAAGUAUUUGAAACCUACAGAUUACUACAAACUGUUCUGUUUUUGACAGAUUCUGUUUUCUAUGUGUUGUUUGCUUAUUUUGAUGAAUCUAUGCGUAGUAUAGGAGGGUAUGAACCAUAGAUAAGUUGGAAUACAGUAGGUUUAACACCAAUAUAAAUCAAUAAUGAUUUCAUUACAGUACCUUGAAGUGGUGUUUUGUUUUCUUUCGCUAACGGAGCUCACGAGAUUUUAUAUUUUGAGUUUUGUGUUGUGAAGUUUUCAAGUUUUGGGUAAAGAUUUGAUGGACUAUGGAAUAAGGGGUGGAAAAGCCGAAGCUUGGGGAUUCCUAAAGCACCCCAAGGUAAUAUUCAAGGACAACCAAGAGCCUAAGCUUGGGGAUGCCCCGGAAGGCAUCCCCUCUUUCGUCUUCGUUCAUCGGUAACUUUACUUGGAGCUAUAUUUUUAUUCACCACAUGAUAUGUGUUUUGCUUGGAGCGUCUUGUAUGAUUUGAGUCUUUGGUUUUUAGUUUACCACAAUCAUCCUUGCUGUACACACCCUUUGAGAGAGACUCACAUGAUUUGAAAUUUAUUAGAAUACUCUAUGUGCUUCACUUAUAUCUUUUGAGCUAUAUAGUUUUUGCUCUAGUGCUUCACUUAUAUCUUUUAGAGCACGGCGGUGGUUCUAUUUUAUAGAAAUAAUUGAUCUCUCGUGCUUCACUUAUAUUAUUUUGAGAGUCCUUUAGAACAACAUGGAAAUUUGCUUUUAGGAAUAAUAUAAAAACUUUCAUACAAGUGCAUUGAAUACUAAGAGAAGUUUGAUACUUGAUGAUUGUUUUGAGAUAUGGAUAUGGUGAUAUUAGAGUCAUGCUAGUUGAGUAGUUGUGAAUUUGAGAAAUACUUGUGUUGAAGUUUGUGAUUCCCGUAGCAUGCACGUAUGGUGAACCGUUAUGUGAUGAAGUUGGAGCAUGAUUUAUUUAUUGAUUGCCUUCCUUAUGAGUGGCGGUCGGGGACGAGCGGUGGUCUUUUCCUACCAAUCUAUCCCCCUAGGAGCAUGCGUGUAGUACUUUGUUUUGAUAACUAAUAGAUUUUUGCAAUAAGUAUGUGAGUUAUUUAUGACUAAUGUUGAGUCCAUGGAUUAUACGCACUCUCACCCUUCCACCAUUGCUAGACUCUCUAGUACCGCGCAACUUUCGCCGGUACCAUAAACCCACCAUAUACCUUCCUCAAAACAGCCACCAUACCUACCUAUUAUGGCAUUUCCAUAGCCAUUCCGAGAUAUAUUGCCAUGCAACUUUCCACCGUUCCGUUAUUAUGACACGCCUGAUCAUUGUCAUAUUUCUAUGCAUGAUCAUGUAGUUGACAUCAUAUUUGUGGAAAAGCUACCGUUCAUAAUUCUUUCAUACAUGUCACUCAUGAGUCAUUGCACAUCCCGGUACACCGCCGGAGGCAUUCAUAUAGAGUCAUAUCUUGUUCUAAGUAUUGAGUUGUAUUUCUUGAGUUGUAAGUAAAUAAAGUGUGAUGAUCAUCAUUAUUAGAGCAUUGUCCUAGUGAGGAAAGGAUGAUGGAGACUAUGAUUCCCCACAAGUCGGGAUGAGACUCCAGAUGAAAAAUAAAAAAAAGGAAAAGAAAAGAGGCCAAAAGAAAAAAAAAGAGAAAGGCCCAAAUAAAAAAAUGAAUGAAAAAAAUGAUGAAAAAAAUGAGAGAAAAAGAGAGAAGGGGCAAUGCUACUAUCUGUUUACCACACUUGUGCUUCAAAGUAGCACCAUGAUCUUCAUGAUAAAGAGUCUCCUAUGUUGUCACUUUCAUAUACUAGUGGGAAUCUUUCAUUAUAGAACUUGGCUUGUAUAUUCCAAUGAUGGGCUUCCCCAAAAUGCCCUAGGUCUUCGUGAGCAAGCAAGUUGGAUGCACACCCACUAGUUUCUUUUGUUGAGCUUUCAUACACUUAUAGCUCUAGUGCAUCCGUUGCAUGGCAAUCCCUACUCACUCACAUUGAUAUCUAUUGAUGGGCAUCUCCAUAGCCCGUUGAUACGCCUAGUUGAUGUGAGACUACCUUCCUCCUUUUUUGUCUUCUCCACAACCACCAUUCUAUUCCACCUAUAGUGCUAUAUCCAUGGCUCACGCUCAUGUAUUGCGUGAAGAUCGAAAAGGUUUGAGAACAUCAAAAGUAUGAAACAAUUGCUUGGAUUGUCAUCGGGGUUGUGCAUGAUUUAAAUAUUUUGUGUGAUGAAGACAGAGCAUAGCCAGACUAUAUGAUUUUGUAGGGAUAGCUUUCUUUGGCCAUGUUAUUUUAAGAAGACAUGAUUACUUUGUUAGUAUGCUUGAAGUAUUAUUAUUAUUUUUGUCAAUAUUAAACUUUUGUCUUGAAUAUUAUGGAUCUGAAUAUUCUUGCCACAAUAGAGAAGAUUACAUUGAUAAAUAUGUUAGGUAGCAUUCCACAUCAAAAAUUCUGUUUUUAUCAUUUACCUACUCGAGGACGAGCAGGAAUUAAGCUUGGGGAUGCUGAUACGGCUCCAACGUAUCUAUAAUUUUUGAUUGUUCCAUGCUAUUAUAUUAUCUGUUUUGGAUGUUUAUGGGCUUUAUUGUACACUUUUAUAUUACUUUUGGGACUAACCUAUUAACCCAGAGCCCAGUGCCAGUUCCUGUUUUUCCCCUUGUUUCAGUGUUUCGCAGAAAAGGAAUAUCAAACGGAGUCCAAAAGGAAUGAAACCUUCGGGAGCGUGAUUUUUGGAACGAACAUGAUUCAGGAGACUUGGAGUUGAAGUCAAGGAAGCUUCGAGGUGGCCAUGAGGCAGGGAGGCGCACCUGCCCCCCC